rnacentral:rRNA from 1 species
UACGUAGGGUGCAAGCGUUAUCCGGAUUCACUGGGUUUAAAGGGAGCGCAGGCGGAUUAGUAAGUCAGUGGUGAAAGCCUUAAGCUUAACUUGGGAACUGCCAUUGAUACUAUUAGUCUUGAAUGUUGUUGAGGUUUGCGGAAUGGGUCAUGUGGCGGUGAAAUGCAUAGAUAUGACCCGGAACACCUAUUUCGAAGGCAGCAGGCUAAACAAAUAUUGACGCUGAGGCUCGAAAGCGUGGGGAUCAAACAGG